CGCGAGAGGUUGGCGGACAGUUUACUCGCCAAUCCGGCCAGGCCUGGAAGGGAGCAACCGUAACGAGAUCACUGGGUCGUUCAAUCUCUCACUUUU
rnacentral:SRP_RNA from 1 species